GGGGAUGUACAGGUUUCGACAGAAAGAUUCGAAGUUCCUUACUCGCAUUCUGGUGGUUGUCUAGUCCCACCAUUAAUCCGUCUAGGCAAAUUUAAGUGCUAAACCACUUACUAAGCUUCAACAAAAGCUAGUUGCUGCUCUUUCUUUGGAAGGACUUACAGCUACGCCUGCUCUUGCUUACGCUCGAGUUUAGUUGAAGUGAUGUUCGCCAAUUUGCGCGAACCCGUCUCAUAGGCUGAGGCCUCAGAGGUCUAUUGAGAUGAUAUAUUUUGAGGUGUAGGAAUCCAGCGACUUGUGUUCUGGCUGGUGACCGAAGUUUUGAAGACACUUGCGUAUUGUUUUUGUUAACUCUCUAUGAUGCGUAAGUAAUCAGAGUUGACUAUGAAUGUAGAAGGUAAUGGCUUCCUUUUUGGACGCGGGUUCGACUCCCGCCAUCUCCACCA
rnacentral:tmRNA from 1 species